rnacentral:rRNA from 1 species
AUUGAACGCUGGCGGCAGGCCUAACACAUGCAAGUCGAGCGAGCGGCGGACGGGUGAGUAAUGUCUGGGAAACUGCCUGAUGGAGGGGGAUAACUACUGGAAACGGUAGCUAAUACCGCAUACCAUCAGAUGUGCCCAGAUGGGGUUAGCUAGUAGGUGGGGUAACGGCUCACCUAGGCGACGAUCCCUAGCUGGUCUGAGAGGAUGCCCAGCCACACGGGAACUGAGACACGGUCCAGACUCCUACGGUAGGAAGCAGUGGGGAAUAUUGCACAAUGGGCGCAAUCCUGAUGCAGCCAUGCCGCGUGUAUGAAGAAGGCCUUCGGGUUGUAAAGUACUUUCAGCGGGGAGGCGUUACUCGCAGAAGAAGCACCGGCUAACUCCGUGCCAGCAGCCGCGGUAAUUC